GACAGAGGGGGCAAGCGUUGUCCGGAUUGACUGGGCGUACAGCGCGCGCAGGCGGUGUGCGACGUGCCCCUGUGACAGGCGGGGGCUCAACCCCCGACGGCCAGGGUAGACGCGCACGCUAGAGGCGAGGGAGAGGGCAGUGGAAUACCCGGUGGAGCGGUGAAAUGCGUAGAGAUCGGGUGGAACACCAGGGCGAAGGCGGCUGCCUGGCCCUGACCUGACGCUGAGGAGCGAAAGCGUGGGGAGCAAACAGG
rnacentral:rRNA from 1 species